UACGUAGGUGGCAAGCGUUGUCCGGAAUUACUGGGCGUAAAGCGCGCGCAGGUGGUUUCUUAAGUCUGAUGUGAAAGCCCACGGCUCAACCGUGGAGGGUCAUUGGAAACUGGGGAACUUGAGUGCAGGAGAGAAGAGUGGAAUUCCACGUGUAGCGGUGAAAUGCGUAGAUAUUGGGAGGAACACCAGUGGCGAAGGCGGCUCACUGGACUGGUACUGACGCUGAGGCGCGAAAGCGUGGGGAGCAAACGGG
rnacentral:rRNA from 1 species